rnacentral:rRNA from 1 species
UCAGUUGGCUUAUAAUUGAAGUCUAGUAUGAAUGGGAGCUCGGGGAUAUUCUGUCCUUUAUUUACGAUUAGAAAUUACUAAUUAAGUGAAAAUUCUUAAACCUUUAGAAAAAAGACGAGAAGACCCUAGAAAUUUUUUAUUAUAUAUUUUGUUGGGGCGACAAGGUAACAUAAAACUUACCUAUACAAUAGGAAAUUUUUUAGUUGGGUAAAUAAAUUACUCUAGGGAUAACAGCAUAAUAUUUUAAAGUUUGUGACCUCGAUGUUGGACUAGGAAAUACCCUACU